CUCUGCCAACUGGCUGCUGUUUGGAGAUGUGGGCUGAAGUGAAGAUCUGCUUGUCUGUGUUUUGGAUCUGAUUAUGUUUGUCGACCUUCUGACAUUUUCUGUUGUUCAUCAGAUCUAAAACUGGAAGCAAUGUGCUAUUUUAGUCAUCAGGCAAAAAGGGCUGCUUAAGUUCCACCUGUGUCUUUGUGUGUCUGGGAGUAAUGAUGUUCACCAGUUGAGGCAUCAGAGCCACCGGAUGCUGGAAGAUGUGUUUAUGAAUGACCUGCUAUUCCACAUCGUUGCCUCUGGGGGUGCCACCAAGCUGGGCUGGAGGCGGCAGCAGCUGGUUAAGAAAAAUAAUGGUAUGACUUAAUGUUACAAUGAGGUCACUGGAAACACAGUUGAG